AUAUCAGUCAUGCAUAGCAUAUCAAUAAGCGGAGGAAAAGAAACUAACAAGGAUUCCCUUAGUAACGGCGAGUGAAGCGGGAAGAGCUCAAAUUUGAAAUCUUCAAGGUUUUACCUUGACGAAUUGUAGUUUAAAGAAGUGUUUUCUGUUGAAGUUUUGGUAAAAGUUCUUUGGAAUAGGACAUCAUAGAGGGUGAGAAUCCCGUAUUUGACCAUUACUUUCAGCUUUGUGAUACACUUUCAAAGAGUCGGAUUGUUUGGGAAUGCAGUCCAAAAUGGGUGGUAAAUUUCAUCUAAAGCUAAAUAUUGGCGAGAGACCGAUAGCGAACAAGUACCGUGAGGAAAAGAUGAAAGAGAACUUUGAAAAGAGAGUUAAACAGUACGUGAAAUUGUCAAAAGGGAAGCGUUUGACACCAGUGUUGUUUCUCUCGAAAAUCAAUUAAAAAGAGUUGGAUUUUGUGUCGUAUUGACUUUAUCAGCUUUCUUCACUCUUUUCCAGCUUUUUUUAAUGCACUUUUCGUUUAACAAGUCAACAUCAGUUUCUUUUGUUGUAAAAAGGUCAUUGGAAGGUGGCUUUCUCUUCGGAGAAAGUGUUUAUAGCCUUUGACUCAUGCAAUCGGAGAGACUGAGGUCUGCAGCGUAGAUCCUUCGGGGUUAGAUACAUUUGUGCUAAGUUAUAGCUUUUCAUAGACAACUUGUUGACUAUGUUUAGUCUUGUAGCUUACUCGCUUAUGCUAUUUUACCUACGCUUAGGAUGUUGAACUCUAUCACACACAG
rnacentral:rRNA from 1 species